CCUACGGGAGGCAGCAGUAGGGAAUCUUGCUCAAUGGGGGAAACCCUGAAGCAGCAACGCCGCGUGAAGGAAGAAGGCUUUCGGGUUGUAAACUUCUGUUAAGGGGGAAGAGCAGAAGACGGUACCCCUUGAAUAAGCCACGACUAACUACGGGCCAGCAGCAGCGGUAAUACGUAGGUGGCAAGCGUUGUCCGGAUUUACUGGGUGUAAAGGGCGUGCAGCCGGAGAGACAAGUCAGAUGUGAAAUCCACGGGCUCAACCCGUGAACUGCAUUUGAAACUGUUUACCUUGAGUGUAGGAGAGGUAAGCGGAAUUCCUUGUGUAGCGGUGAAAUGCGUAGAUAUAAGGAAGAACACCAGUGGCGAAGGCGGAUUACUGGACGAUAACUGACGCUGAGGCGCGAAAGCGUGGGGAGCAAACAGGAUUAGAUACCCGGGUAGUC
rnacentral:rRNA from 1 species